rnacentral:rRNA from 1 species
UACGAAGGGGGCUAGCGUUGCUCGGAUUGACUGGGCGUAAAGGGCGCGUAGGCGGUUCGUACAGUCAGACGUGAAAUUCCUGGGCUCAACCUGGGGGCUGCGUUUGAUACGUGCGGACUUGAGUGCGGAAGAGGGUCGUGGAAUUCCCAGUGUAGAGGUGAAAUUCGUAGAUAUUGGGAAGAACACCGGUGGCGAAGGCGGCGACCUGGUCCGAUACUGACGCUGAGGCGCGAAAGCGUGGGGAG